AGCUGAGAGGAGGUGCAUGGCCGUCGUCAGUUCGUACUGUGAAGCAUCCUGUUAAGUCAGGCAACGAGCGAGACCACGCCAACAGUUGCCAGCAUGAUCUCCGGAUUGAUGGGGACACUGUUGGGACCGCCUCUGCUAAAGGGGAGGAAGGAAUGGGCAACGGUAGGUCAGCAUGCCCCGAAUUAUCCGGGCUACACGCGGGCUACAAUGGAUGGGACAAUGGGUUUCGACACCGAAAGGUGAAGGUAAUCUCCUAACCCCACCCGUAGUUCGGAUUGCGGGCUGCAACUCGCCCGCAUGAAGCUGGAAUCCGUAGUAAUCGCGUCUCACGAUGGCGCGGUGAAUAUGUCCCUGCUCCUU
rnacentral:rRNA from 1 species